AACUUAAACAGCUUUAGCUAGACCUGUUUCAGAGGUAGUCUAGCAAACGUGUUUAGGUUUAAAAUAUCACACGAUGCUAGCGUGCGCAUGGUCAAAGAUGGAUCCCAUGGCCAAUGCUCUUCUCUUCUUUUGCCUUCUCCUCUAUAUCAUUUGGAAGUUCGGUGAAGAAGACCGUCUCAGAGAGUGUUAUAGGCGACGGCAGGACGGAUAUGUGGAGUUUUACUUUAGAAGACAGCAAAGAAGAACUAACCACUUUUGGACGUUGACAAUUGGUGUACUAGCGGUGAUGGGAGUUCUUCUGGCUGUUGCAUUUGCAUUUCGAAAGUAACGGUGCUGUUGUGUUGCCAGCUCUAUUGGCGUGCAAUGCUGCUGCAGAAUUGUAUGGCCUGCAAAGGUGGUUUUCAUGCUACUUCUAUGUUGCAGCUACACAGUACUGUUACAGAACAUUAGUAGUUAGUAAAUUUCAUUGGUAAUUUGAACUUUACUAGAAUUAUUUGCAUUGUUGCCGAGCGUAGCGAGGCUUCUAAU